rnacentral:rRNA from 1 species
CAACGCGAAGAACCUUACCAGCUCUUGACAUGUCACGUCUGGUUACCGGAGACGGUUUCCUUCAGUUCGGCUGGCGUGAACACAGGUGCUGCAUGGCUGUCGUCAGCUCGUGUCGUGAGAUGUUGGGUUAAGUCCCGCAACGAGCGCAACCCUCGCCCCCAGUUGCCAUCAUUCAGUUGGGAACUCUGGGGGGACUGCCGGUGAUAAGCCGAGAGGAAGGUGGGGAUGACGUCAAGUCCUCAUGGCCCUUACGGGCUGGGCUACACACGUGCUACAAUGGUGGUGACAGAGGGCAGCGAAAGGGCGACCUGGAGCUAAUCCCCAAAAGCCAUCUCAGUUCGGAUUGCACUCUGCAACUCGGGUGCAUGAAGGUGGAAUCGCUAGUAAUCGUGGAUCAGCAUGCCACGGUGAAUACGUUCCCGGGCCUUGUACACACCG